AUUGAACGCUGGCGGCAGGCCUAACACAUGCAAGUCGAGGGGAUGAAGGGAGCUUGCUCCUGGAUUCAGCGGCGGACGGGUGAGUAAUGCCUAGGAAUCUGCCUGGUAGUGGGGGAUAACGUCCGGAAACGGGCGCUAAUACCGCAUACGUCCUGAGGGAGAAAGUGGGGGAUCUUCGGACCUCACGCUAUCAGAUGAGCCUAGGUCGGAUUAGCUAGUUGGUGGGGUAAAGGCCUACCAAGGCGACGAUCCGUAACUGGUCUGAGAGGAUGAUCAGUCACACUGGAACUGAGACACGGUCCAGACUCCUACGGGAGGCAGCAGUGGGGAAUAUUGGACAAUGGGCGAAAGCCUGAUCCAGCCAUGCCGCGUGUGUGAAGAAGGUCCUCGGAUUGUAAAGCACUUUAAGUUGGGAGGAAGGGCAGUAAGUUAAUACCUUGCUGUUUUGACGUUACCAACAGAAUAAGCACCGGCUAACUUCGUG
rnacentral:rRNA from 1 species